CCUACGGGUGGCAGCAGUGAGGAAUAUUGGUCAAUGGACGAGAGUCUGAACCAGCCAAGUAGCGUGAAGGAUGACUGCCCUAUGGGUUGUAAACUCCUUUUAUAUGGGAAUAAAAUGUUCCACGUGUGGGAUUUUGUAUGUACCAUAUGAAUAAGGAACGGCUAACUCCGUGCCAGCAGCCGCGGUAAUACGGAGGAUCCGAGCGUUAUCCGGAUUUAUUGGGUUUAAAGGGAGCGUAGGUGGAUUGUUAAGUCAGUUGUGAAAGUUUGCGGCUCAACCGUAAAAUUGCAGUUGAAACUGGCAGUCUUGAGUACAGUAGAGGUGAGCGGAAUUCGUGGUGUAGCGGUGAAAUGCUUAGAUAUCACGAAGAACUCCGAUUGCGAAGGCAGCUCACUGGACUGCAACUGACACUGAGGCUCGAAAGUGUGGGUAGCAAACAGGAUUAGAUACCCGAGUAGUC
rnacentral:rRNA from 1 species